GCCCGGCCCCUGCCCCGGGGGGCCCCGCUCGGAGGGAAGGCUGAAGAAUCACAUCUAGAUUUUGCUCCAGAUCAGCUGGUCUUCCAGGAAACGGGGAAAAGAAAUGGCUAUGAUGGAGCCAGCUCAGAUGCCGGUGACCUUCGAGGAGGUGGCUGUGUAUUUCACCC